rnacentral:rRNA from 1 species
GAUGAACGCUGGCGGCGUGCCUAAUACAUGCAAGUCGAGCGAACGGACGAGAAGCUUGCUUCUCUGAUGUUAGCGGCGGACGGGUGAGUAACACGUGGAUAACCUACCUAUAAGACUGGGAUAACUUCGGGAAACCGGAGCUAAUACCGGAUAAUAUAUUGAACCGCAUGGUUCAAUAGUGAAAGACGGUUUUGCUGUCACUUAUAGAUGGAUCCGCGCCGCAUUAGCUAGUUGGUAAGGUAACGGCUUACCAAGGCAACGAUGCGUAGCCGACCUGAGAGGGUGAUCGGCCACACUGGAACUGAGACACGGUCCAGACUCCUACGGGAGGCAGCAGUAGGGAAUCUUCCGCAAUGGGCGAAAGCCUGACGGAGCAACGCCGCGUGAGUGAUGAAGGUCUUCGGAUCGUAAAACUCUGUUAUUAGGGAAGAACAAAUGUGUAAGUAACUAUGCACGUCUUGACGGUACCUAAUCAGAAAGCCACGGCUAACUACGU